CGCCGCGCUCCGGCAUCCCUCCAAAUCAAUCGCUCCGAUUGGAAGGUCGCCAUCCCUCUCUUGUCCCCCCUCGUCUCUCCUUCUUCCUCUCCCAAAGAUAUCCACAGUUGGAGUACCCCCGAUUCAAGACAACCUUCCUCAACUACUUCUUCUUCUUCUCAUCAUCAUCACCUUCUUCAUCACCAUCACCAUCAUAAAGAAUCCGACCCGGAGAAGGCGCCGGUCUUCAAGAAAUGGCAGCAUCCGGCGGCUCCAUUUCAUUACGAUUCCGGUGCUAGGGCUCCCAGAUUUGUACCCGUUUAGAUUUUUGUUUUAUAUUCAAAGAAAAUAAAAUCUCUUGAAUUUGAUCUGUAGAUCUAACGCUCUCAGUUUGAGGAGCUUAUUGACUGCAACUUAUGCUUAACCACACUCGAAUAUUUGUACAUUGCUUUUCUUGUUAUUUAUGAAUUGCUCACAUCACUCAUUACUCAUUACAGUACUUAACGUUUUGAUUGAAAGUCACAUUUGUUAAUCAAUCAUUAUUUACGUGUCGUACUACCAACGCCAUUUUAUUUUCCACUAAUAUUCAUUCUUAUCAUCUAUCCAAUUAUAUUUUUAACUAAUUUUUCUACUUCCUUCAAUUUUCAAAAAUCACACAUUUAUUCAUUUAUUUGUUAAAUAAUUUCAAAUUAAAUAAUUGAACUAAAUUUAUGCACAUUUUCAAAUGAACCAAAAUAGAUAGUGAGACAUUGAUACACAGAAUAUGAAGAUUUGUCAUUUACGAUGCUAAUUGAACCAUCCUCUAUCAAAGUUAAGGUAUAAAUUGGUAUUAUUUUUGUUUUUUCAUGUAUUUGUGUUAUUUAAUUUUAAAAGAGAAAGGAAGGCACAAGCACAAUGGUAUUUUUAGUUUAUCCAAUACUUCUUCUUACCUAAUAUUUACUUUAACUAACACAUACCUCUUUAUUUUAUGUACAUCUCAUCCAUCUACCUUCUACCUGCUGGAUUACUUUCAAUACAAUUAUGGAAAAUAUCAAAAUUUUAAUUUUAUGUCUAAUAAAAAUAUUAAUUCAAUGUGUUCUCCAUUUUUCAUUUUUAUAUUUUCUUUUAAUAAAUCAUUAUAACUAUUAAAAUAUUUAAUUAAUGUAUUCUUAAAUAUGUACGGCUUAUUUACCUGGGUUCUUUUAUUUUCUCUAUUUAAUCUCUUUACUAUUCUAAUAUUUUAGACAUAAUAUCAAAUAGAAAAUCUCCUUUUAAAAAAUCAAAUCAAAUUUUAAAUUAAAAAUGAAUACAAUUUUAAAAAGUUUUAAUAUAAGGUGUGAAACCAUAAAUGAAUGGGGGUCACAUUUUUUAAAACGUACCUUUUCAAAUCUGUUUCAAUUUUUAUAUUUGAAAAUUUUUCAAUAAUUUAUUUUUUACUAACUGUUCAUCUCUAUUAUGCAAAACUAUUAAUUACUUUGAACAGUUUACUUAACCCACUAGAUUUAUUGCUAUGUUGACUAAAUUAUUAAAAUUUAAUAAAGUUGGCCAAAGUAAUGGUAUUGACGUUAUCUUUAUUACUAAAAUUCUUUAGUUUAAUCUCUCAUCCUACACUUAUAUACUAAAUAAUUAUAAGUUAACUUAAUGGAAUUUUUUAAGAUAGAGAAAAAUAAAAUUGUAAUUACUUUGUUUUUACUAUGGGAACUGAGUGGAAGGGAGAUGGUAAAAUGAAGAAUAAUUGAGAGAUGAUUGGAUGAUAUUUGUUAUAACUUAUACAAAUGGACUCUUCUUUAUAAAUAAUUUUUUAAUGUCCUAAGCUAGACAUCACAUCAUUUUAAUAUAUGAUUGUGACAGAACAUGUUAAAAUAGUAUCCUAUGCUACAAUAGUAUAAAAAUAAUUGUUAAAAUCCUUCCUAUAGUUCACUUUUUUUGUUUGCAAAUUCUUUUCUAUUGUAUUCCUAAUAUUUGGGUUUGAUAGAAAUUCUAGAGUUUUGUUAUGUUUAUAAAUUUCUUCUAAUAGUUUUGCUAAUGAAUGAAAUUGAAAUUUUGUUUUUUUUUUUUAAAAAAGAUACUGUUGAUUUGGCAGAAGCACUUAAUACAUCUUUAUUAGGUGGACACCCCUUAGCAUUCUUAUCAUUCUUGUUUCAUUAGUAAUCAACUAAGAUAGUACAAGAAGCAAAAAAAUACAAGAAGGAGGGCUAGAAGAUAAGCACGAUACAAGUGACGAAAAGGGCUAAACAAUAGAAUUGUGAUUGUAAUUAGCAAAAAGCUUGAUCUAGUGGACCAAAAAGACCCGUGAGAGCACAAACAUCAUCCCAAAUCUCACAUGUGGAUCUUUCCUUUCCUUUGAAGAUUCUGUGAUUUCUUUCCAACCAAAUUGACCACAAUAAUGCAUGUAACAAAAAAGUUGAAAGUGAUAGCCCCUCUUUUGUUCAUUUGAUUUAUGGAACAAAUCUCUUUACAUAAACAAUUAACAUUGUCGUGUGUAUUCUGCCAAUGUAUCAAAGUUCCAACCCUGUUCCAAACUUUUUGGAAAGUUUUCGCAAGAGAUGAAAAUGUGAUAUAAGGUUUUUGAUUUUCUUUUGCAAGGAUAGCACCAAUUCGAAUUGAGGCGCCAACUUGAAAGGUGCUUUUGAAGUUUGUCAGAAGUGUUUUAAUGCAUUCAUAAAAGGAGAGUCCAGAUGAAGAACUUACAUUUCUUUGGAAUGCUAGACUUCCGAAUUCAGCUUCCAUAAGGGUUUAUCAGCUCCACUGUUAACGAUCGGGUAAACAAGGAAAGAUUGAGCUCAUUUAGAUGUUGAAAAUCAAGAGGCUUGUGAGAGGUUUUCUUGGUUGAAUAUCUCAAUCCUUAGUAUUUGUAUUCCACAAAUCAUUUACAUGUUGAAAAUCGAGUCCUAAGUAUCUGCUGUUUUUUUUUUUUUUUUUUAUGUUGUUAAAAUAUAGAAAUGAAAGUAAAUGAUUAAGAGUGCGUUUGAAUUAUCUAUGGAAAAAAAUGUUUUUCAAAAAUACAUUUUCUUUUUCUUAACACUCAAACGUUGUAGGGUCGAACAAAUUGUCUUGUGAGAUUAGUACUUAAGGUAUGCGUAAGCUGCUCAUACACUUAAAAAAAACUUUUUCUUUAAAUAAGUUUAAAAUUUAACCACUUACAUGUUUGAUUAUAUUAGAUCUUUAUCCAUAUUUGAUUAUAUUAGAUCUUUUUAUAGGUGUUUAUAUACAUAAUUUUCUCAAAUUUUGGUUGUUUUUUUUAAAAUGAAUUAUUUUUUAAUCUCAUUCUUCAAAAAUGCAUUUUCAAAAGAAACACAUCAAAAAAAUUUAAAUGGUUUAUUUUUCAAAUUUAAACAUUAAGUCAAUGCUAUUUUACAUCUCUAAUCCGCUGAAAAAAAUGUCAUUUUCUUUGAUUAAUUUUCACUUGUUUGAAAAUAUUUUAAUACCUAAUUAAAAAAUUCUAAAGAAAUUAUAAGGCAAAAUGAUAACUUAAUUUACAAAAUUGGAUUUUUUCAAAAAUAAAAAAUUAACAAAUUAUAUAGACUCACGUAAACAAAACCACUACAAAAUUUUGUAUGAAAUGAAAUAUGAUUUUGUCACUGAGUAAGGAUUGAUUUUAAAUUUCACCAAUUUAGUUUACAUUUAAUACUUAAUUUCAACCUUAUAUAUACAUACAUACUUUAAAGGAAAAUCAUUAAAAUGUUCGAUUCAAUUUAAGAUAUAAAAUUGUUCUAUUCAAUAAAAAUAUAUGACUACUUAAGGUUUUUCGUUGGGUAAUCAUCUCAACUUUUUGUUUUUGUUUUCUUUGUUUAUUUAAAACAAACUUGGAAAGAAAGAAAGAAUAAAUCUGGAGCUAAAGCUUGCAAAUAAAACAGUAGAGAAGAUUUGUUAAAGUAGAAAAAACAAUAAGGCAACAAGACAUGUACGAAGAAGAUCAAAAGGGAAGAAGAAGAAAUACUCAGAAUUAUAGUGGCAUGGUUCCAUGAUAUUUCACCUACAUCCACUCUCAAGAAGGCAGCAACACAAGAACUUCAUUCACCGGGUGGGUUUAAUUUUCAAAAACCACAGCAGUAGUAGACUCACAUAAACUUUUUAUUUUCUCUCAGAUUUUAGGGAGUGAAAUUUCUAAGCAUUCUCUACGAAAUUUCUAACUUGUUUUUCUUCUAUUUAUAAGUAACUCAUGUACUGAAGGCUGCAGAAACAAAUUAAUAACUGUGCUACAAGUUUUCAGUUACUAAUCCACAUAAGAUAGAUUGCUUCAAUUGAUUCUAAUUAAGAUAGAACCCAUACUCUCAAACAAAAGAGAAGUUUAGGGAUUUUUUUAUCCCUUUAAUGAUCCCCAUAAGUUUGCUUUAUGUGUCCACAAAGUUUUUGAUGUCAACAACGUCACUAAGAUGCUCAUGGCAAAAACCCUAAUCAAACUUUUUUUUCUUCCUUAUUCUCAAUGUGGAAAAACAAAAUAGGGAGAGAGUUUUUAGAAUUGAAAAUGAUGGAAGAGAGUUGGGAGAAAUGAGAGAAAUACACCUAAAUGAAAAUAUUUUUGAGAAAGGUUAAAGGAGAGAGAAACGACAAGCGUUGCAGUACAUAUAAAACAAAAAACGAAAAUGAGAUUGACCACUGUCUUAAGAUUCCCAAAUUUGAGGUGGGUUCUAC
rnacentral:lncRNA from 1 species